UUGAUUUAAAUAUAAAGUCUAACCUGCCCACUGAAAAAUUUUAAAUGGCUGCAGUAAUUUGACUGUACAAAGGUAGCAUAAUCAUUAGUUUUUUAAUUAAAAGCUUGUAUGAAAGGUUGGACGAGGUAAAAUCUGUCUCUUUUUAAUAUAAUUAGAAUUUAAUUUUUAAGUAAAAAAGCUUAAAUUUUUAUAAAAGACGAGAAGACCCUAUAGAGUUUAAUAAUUAAAAUAAGAUAAUUAAUUUAGAUUUAUUAAUUUUAUUUUAUUUAAAUUAUUUUAUUGGGGUAAUAAAAAGAUUUAGGAAAUUCUUUUUUUUAAAACCAUUAAUUUAUGAUUAUAUGAUCCAUUAAUAAUGAUUAUAAGAUUAAAUUACCUUAGGGAUAACAGCGUAAUUUUUUUAAAGAGUUCUUAUCGAUAAAAAAGUUUGCGACCUCGAUGUUGGAUUAAAGAUUAAUUUAGGUGUAGAAGUUUAAAUAUUUGGUCUGUUCGACCAUUGAAUCUUUACAUGAUCUGAGUUCAAACCGGUGUAAGCCAGGUUGGUUUCUAUCUUUAUUUUUUUUUUAUAUUUUAGUACGAAAGGACCAAAUAUAAAAUAUAUUAAUAUUUAAUUUUUGAAUAUUAUU
rnacentral:rRNA from 1 species